GCCAGUGUGGUGUAGUGGUUUGAGUGCUGGACUGUGAUUCUGGAGACCAGGGUUCAAUUUCCUGCUCAGACA
rnacentral:tRNA from 1 species